rnacentral:misc_RNA from 1 species
GUGAGUCAUCGAAUCUUUGAACGCAUAUUGCACCCGACAGGCUCGCUUGUCGGGUCUGCCUGUUUGAGUAUCAGUUUAACCCCAACAGCCGGCGGUGCUUGUGUAAAAGCAGGCGCCGGCAGCUUGUUGGUGCUCGCGGCGCGCAUUCGUGCGUGCGGCGGAUCUGGGGCUUCGGGGUUUCGCGCCCUGUGUCCUGAAAUGCAUUGGCCGACCGGCGCAUCAACCAACGUGUUGUGCUCGGACCGAACCGAUUAGCAAUGUUAAUCAUCUGCAAGGGUGUCUUUGUUAACGCGGCGCGGU